GACGGAGGGUGCUAGCGUUGUUCGGAUUUACUGGGCGUAAAGGGCGCGUAGGCGGCCCUGUCAGUCGGGUGUGAAAGCCCGGGGCUCAACCCCGGAACGGCACCCGAGACGGCAGGGCUGGAGACCGGGAGAGGAGGGUGGAAUAGCCAGUGUAGAGGUGAAAUUCGUAGAUAUUGGCUGGAACACCGGUGGCGAAAGCGGCUCUCUGGCCCGGUUCUGACGCUGAGGCGCGAAAAGCGUGGGGGAGCAAACAGGG
rnacentral:rRNA from 1 species